UUUAUCUCUGGGCUUGGGGAAGGACAGCUGGCCUGAGGAAAGAAAAAAUGUUUUCGUAAGUUCAGUAACACAGCAAUCUCAUCGGGAUCUAAUGACUAAGAGCUCGACUAAGAGUGUCCUAUAUUCAUUGCCUUCGCUUCCUAUGAAGAUUCCCACUGUUCACGCUGUCUUUCACCUGUCUUCAACACAGUUACAGCUAAUAUGGGUUCUCUUAACGUGCUUUUUUAUCAAAAGAUAGAAUUAUUGAUUUGGAUACAAAAGAAGAUUGGACCUUCAUAACGUUUGUCUUGCUUUAAUUUCACUAAAUCCUCAGUGGACGGAAUGAAUAUCACUGCAUUCUCCUCCGGACAGCCUUUUAUUGGUUGUAAUGUAAGACAGACUAACGAACGAGGGUUGUUUGAGGCUGAAUGUGAUUUCUUGAAGACGUCGACGCGCGGAAAACGACCGGAUAACAUGAAGUGUUUCAACACCAGUCUUCUCGCAACUAUCAGACAACCAUGGUUUGGUGUCUAUAUAUUCAGUUGGUUCUUCAAGAUUGCAAGCAUGUACAAUUUCCUUUACAACCUCAUCUGAACAUGAUGGAUGUGACCACAGCCAAAGUCUUGUUACCAUGUCUGGCACAGGAUUGACCUCGAAAGAGAGAAUGGAUGGAUAUAUAAUUUCAGUUGUGAUUUACGUAAAUGCAGUCAACUCUAUGAAGAUUACCUGCUGUUCCCAGAGACACAUGACUGGACCAAUUGCCUGGUAUGGAUAUCUGUCAUAUUUAUACAGCAUCGUUUCAGAUUCAUAUUUACCAUCUAAGUACUCCUUGCCAACCACUGUCAAACCUUACAAGAAAAUGAACCAGCUUUGAUGGUACAGUUCUGAAUACAACCACAUGAUGCAUGUACUCUUAUAAAAAUGCAGUGCAUUGAUAAUAAGAAAUAUCCUGAAAGGCAGAGAACAACCCACUUGCUAAAUCUUUAUUUUUGGAGGGAUGGAGUUAUCCAGCUGUCAGUGGCUUACUUAUUUAUACCUGCAAUAAGCAACCAUUCGCCAUAGCACGGUAAGAAGCUCUCACACUUUUAUCAUUUGGGUGGCAAGGUAUCUUGUAACCCCAUUGUU
rnacentral:lncRNA from 1 species